rnacentral:rRNA from 1 species
CAAUAGCGUAUAUUAAAGUUGUUGCGGUAAAAAAGCUCGUAGUUGGAUUUCUACCGAAGAUAGCCGGUCGGGUCUUCGACCUUGUAUCUGGUUUUGUCUUUGGUAUCCUCAUAGGGAACGUUUCUGCGCGUUAUUGCGUGGUGCGGUAUCUAUGACUUUUACUUUGAGGAAAUUAGAGUGUUCACGGCAGGCAAACGCCUUGAAUAUAUUAGCAUGGAAUAAUAACAUAGGAUCUUCGUCCUAUUUUGUUGGUUUCUAGGGCUAAGAUAAUGAUUAAUAGGGAUAAUUGGGGGCAUCUGUAUCAACGCGUCAGAGGUGGAAUUCUUGGAUUGCGUUGCGACAAACUACUGCGAAAGCAUUUGCCAAGGAUGUUUUCAUUGA